rnacentral:lncRNA from 1 species
GGAGUAAUCCAGCCCUUCCUGAAGACAGCAACCUGCAGGAAACACACAUCAGGAUUCCAGGGCUAGGGAUCAGUAUGUCCUCUCAGCCAGGACCCAGCCACAUCAAGGUGGCUAGCUCAGCUUGUGGCCCCACAGAUGCUACAUUUUCCAGUUCAAGGUGGCUUUACCUACCCUCCCUCCCAUCCUCUUUCUGCUGUUAUGAUGGGUAACUGUGCUUGAACACUGUAGACUUCAACUCUUUGAUUUCACAGUGGCUUUUCUGCUCUACUCUGUGGAGGGAAGCCCUAAUCUUGGGAAGUUUACCUGUUUAGCUGUGGUCACAUUCCUGACUGCAGUAAACAGAGUCACCAGCAUCUUACCUCCAGGACUACACCAACUCUAAUGUACCUUACCAGUUGCUGCCAGAGGGGCCUUUCUAACUCAUAAAUUAGCAUAAUCCUCCAGUUCUUCAAAAUCCUACAGUAGCCACCUCGGGGAUGGGAUAAAGGAUUGUUACUUUAGCACAGAUUCCUUAUCAGGAGUUGGAAUUAAGCGCUGUAGACCUAUGAGGACUUCAGUCUUGUCUGCAAAAUGAGCUUUGGGCCCAACAGCUCAGGCCUCUUUCGUGGGACCCUCCUCAUGUGCUAGCCUUCCACAAAAUAUUCCUCAGCCUGGAUUUUCACAGACGCCACACCCUCACCCUCCUGCUGCUCAGCCCUCCCACCGACUCAUCUGCCUUGGGUGAUGGCCACGCCCUCCUCUGUCUGGCCUCCACUUUCUCUAACCUGGAGCAACUACUCUCCUGACCCUGCCUUACAGAGUUCAAGUUUCUGGCAGGCGGGGACAUGUUUUAUAGGCUUUUUUGUCCCCCAAGGCUCACAACUCAGCAGUUCCUGAACAGAGGAGAGACUCUAAGGCACCAUACAAAAUACAAGGAACUUGGCUACCAAAUCUUGAGUUCCAAGCCUCCUGCUUCUGGGCUUUUGCCACGAAGCCAAGACAUUAAC